UACGGGGGGGGCAAGCGUUGUUCGGAAUUACUGGGCGUAAAGGGCUCGUAGGCGGCCAACUAAGUCAGACGUGAAAUCCCCAGGCUUAACUUGGGAACUGCGUCUGAUACUGGAUGGCUUGAAUUCGGGAGAGGGAUGCGGAAUUCCAGGUGUAGCGGUGAAAUGCGUAGAUAUCUGGAGGAACACCGGUGGCGAAGGCGGCAUCCUGGACCGAGAUUGACGCUGAUGCGCGAAAGCCAGGGGAGCAAACGGG
rnacentral:rRNA from 1 species